AUUGAACGCUGGCGGCAUGCCUUACACAUGCAAGUCGAACGGCAGCACGGGUGCUUGCACCUGGUGGCGAGUGGCGAACGGGUGAGUAAUACAUCGGAACAUGUCCUGUAGUGGGGGAUAGCCCGGCGAAAGCCGGAUUAAUACUGCAUACGAUCUACGGAUGAGAGCGGGGGACCUUCGGGCCUCGCGCUAUAGGGUUGGCCGAUGGCUGAUUAGCUAGUUGGUGGGGUAAAGGCCUACCAAGGCGACGAUCAGUAGCUGGUCUGAGAGGACGACCAGCCACACUGGGACUGAGACACGGCCCAGACUCCUACGGGAGGCAGCAGUGGGGAAUUUUGGACAAUGGGCGAAAGCCUGAUCCAGCAAUGCCGCGUGUGUGAAGAAGGCCUUCGGGUUGUAAAGCACUUUUGUCCGGAAAGAAAUCCUUGGCCCUAAUACGGUCGGGGGAUGACGGUACCGGAAGAAUAAGCACCGGCUAACUACGUG
rnacentral:rRNA from 1 species